GGCCUAGUAGUGUACUGGCAACAUGCCCUCGCAGUGUCUUUUAGCACACUUGAAGUAUGAGGAAGACCCCUGUUCGACUCGGGGCUAGGCCA